UAGGAUGUGCUAGCAUCUUCUCUGGGUUCAGCUAUUACUGGCACCUUGUCCUACCUGAGAAAGGGAUCCUGAGGCCUGAUCAAGAGAAGGACAACUCUGCCUACUGAUCAAGAAGUAGCUUGUGAAUGAGCAGCAAAGAGGGAUCUUGCCUAGUGGCCGACCAAAACCUGCUUCAGUUGCUUGGCUGUUCACACUUUUCUUUGACUGGAGAUACUGUU